CUUUGGGUUUUGGGGUGGAGUGGAACUGAGCCUGAUGUGGUUCUCUUUUUGGCAGCGACAUGGCAGACUUCAUCACACCUUGCGGAGCCUGCAGACAGGUGAUGAGAGAGUUUGGCACAGACUGGGACCUCUACCUGACCAAACCCGAUGGCACCUACAUUGUGAAGACUCUACAGGAGCUCCUGCCACUCUCCUUUGGCCCCGAGGACCUGCAGAAGGCUUGAAUUGCACACCUGCAUUUCCCUUUCGGCGCUGGGGGCAAUGGAUUAUUCCCCCAACUUUCCCUUUAUGCACGUGGCUCCACGGGGACAAUGCCAAAGGGUUUGCUGCAUGGAUGUUGCUUGGAUCCAAGGCUGCAAAACUGAGGACAAAAAGCAAUUUCAGCUCAAAGUCCCCAACAUUAUCCACCAGCCAUUUGUGCACGGGCAGCUCGGUGUUCAGUGGGCUGUCACUGUGGUGCCACUGCUCCUUUUUGCUUUUUUUCGCUUGCUUCUAUGGGGACAAAGAGGAAUUCUGGGGGUGUUCACUGAUUGUCCUGGCAAUUGAAUUAUGUGCAAUAAGAAAAAAAAAUAAAACAGUGUUACUUUAA